ACCAGACUCCUACGGGAGGCAGCAGUGGGGAAUAUUGCACAAUGGGGGAAACCCUGAUGCAGCGACGCCGCGUGAGUGAAGAAGUAUUUCGGUAUGUAAAGCUCUAUCAGCAGGGAAGAAAUACUGACCUUACGGUCAGCAGACGGUACCUGACUAAGAAGCCCCGGCUAACUACGUGCCAGCAGCCGCGGUAAUACGUAGGGGGCAAGCGUUAUCCGGAUUUACUGGGUGUAAAGGGAGCGUAGACGGCAGCGCAAGUCUGGAGUGAAAUGCCGGGGCUUAACCCCGGAACUGCUUUGGAAACUGUGCAGCUAGAGUGCAGGAGAGGUAAGUGGAAUUCCUAGUGUAGCGGUGAAAUGCGUAGAUAUUAGGAGGAACACCAGUGGCGAAGGCGGCUUACUGGACUGUAACUGACGUUGAGGCUCGAAAGCGUGGGGAGCAAACAGGAUUAGAUACCCCAGUA
rnacentral:rRNA from 1 species